rnacentral:rRNA from 1 species
UACGUAGGGUGCAAGCGUUAUCCGGAAUUAUUGGGCGUAAAGAGCUCGUAGGCGGUUUGUCGCGUCUGCUGUGAAAACCCGAGGCUCAACCUCGGGCCUGCAGUGGGUACGGGCAGACUAGAGUGCGGUAGGGGAGAUUGGAAUUCCUGGUGUAGCGGUGGAAUGCGCAGAUAUCAGGAGGAACACCGAUGGCGAAGGCAGAUCUCUGGGCCGUAACUGACGCUGAGGAGCGAAAGCCAGGGGAGCAAACGGG